AUGCACCGUGUAGUGGCUGGGACAGAGAAGGCUUUCUGGAGGAGUGGGGUACCCUGGGGGUUCUUGGGCUUAGCCAUCUCCCUGCCAUCUGGCCUGGCCCACCUGGGGCUGGCUAGGUGUCAGGCCUGGUCCCGGCAGGGGUUGGGCUGCUUCCAGAUCUGUUUUCAUUUUCAGUUCCCUUUAUUGCUAACCACUUCGGGGCCACAGAGAACAAACUGUUGUCCUCAGCUGACCUCAGAUUCCUGGCCUCAAUUGUUUGUCCGUUUGCUAAUUUUAGCUUCUGAUCAUUUCCACCCUUAUCCUCCCUCCAAAGGGAGACACAGACCAAGAAUAGCUGCCUGGAAGGGGGCUGUGGUGGUUGUGGCCAGAGUUCCCACAGAGAUCUGGCAGGGUGUGCAGGGCCGGCAGCUCCCUGCAGGCAGGCGGGGCUGGGGGCUGUGCCUCACAGAGGACCCCUCACCGAGGACCCUGUGCUCUUCAGUCCUCCCGAUGUCUUCCUAGGGCACUUGUGGACAGGCUGCUGUGCACGGCUUUGGAAGCCUCAUGUGUGAGCUGAAUGUCUCCGAGGAGGCCACCGCGGGUCAGGUGGUCCAUCCCAGAGCCCACAGCCUGUUCUUGGAGGAUUCCUCCCUAGGGAUUGCCAGACACCCCAAGGAGAAGGGACCACUUUCCAGCGUGGCUCAGACACCAAGGGGUGUCAUGACCCCGGGGCUGCUCCUGCUUGCCUCUGAGCGUGUGAACGGGAGACUGUUUCCCGCCUCACCUGGUGAGGCCGCAGGUGCCCAGUGCUGGGGAGCACAUCGGUGUCAGCAUCGGGCUCUGCUGGGUGACGGCAUGGUCCGGUUCAGGGCUUGCGCAGCUCUGGGGUUUUGCAGUUGUGGUUGUGUUUGUUAUACCCAGGCAACCCCUUCCCAUCCAAAACCAUUGAUGGAGCUUCUCUGGAAUCCUUUGCCAAAAUCCCAAGGCAGAAUCCUAGGGUCCAAGACCAUUUCCAUCAAGUUCAUGUUUUCCUUUGCUGUAGGAACUUCUUUCUUUUCUUUUUAACCAGCUCCCCACCAUGCUUCCAAUGGCCACAUUUCAUCUUCCCUGGAUCACUGCAGUGAAGUAUUACAGUUGUACAGUUCCCAAUCUGGCCUUGGCUUGUGAAUCAAAACUUUGUAUGUAUUUUGUAAGGCAUAGAUUCUAUAUUGUAAUGAUGUCCUAUGCAAAAAGAAAAAAAUUAACGGAAUUGUAAAUUUUAUUGUUUUAACAUGUAUGCAUGUUUAGUGACGUUUACAUUUUGAAAUAAAGUUUAUGAUUCAUUAUUUUACUUGCCUGAGCUGGUUCCUUUGAAAGGCAUGUCCUGCAGAGAGGCUCUGGGAGGGGAAGCAGCUGAAAUGGAAGUGAACCUCAGCAUGGAAUUAACUGAGAGGGAGAAACUCAGGUCUGGAGCUUGCCUGGCCUCGCCGGGAAGACUGGCUGCGGAACUGGGGGCCUCUCCUGGCUCUCCCCUCUGCCUGCCAGGGCCCAUUUCAGCUCUUCACAGUCCUAGGACAAAGGAGCAGGGGGAGGUGGUGACCACAGGUUCCUCCGAAGAGCGUAGAGCUUUCCCUUACUCCCCUGUGUUGGCUCUCACUCUAAGGAACACUGGAAGUCGUCAGC
rnacentral:lncRNA from 1 species